rnacentral:rRNA from 1 species
UCGAGAAUUUUUCACAAUGGGGGCAACCCUGAUGGAGCGACGCCGCGUGGAGGAUGAAGGUCUUCGGAUCGUAAACUCCUGUCACUACAGAACAAGAGUAUAACAGCUAACAUCUGUUAUGCUUGAUAGUAUGUGGAGAGGAAGGGACGGCUAACUCUGUGCCAGCAGCCGCGGUGAUACAGAGGUCCCAAGCGUUGUUCGGAUUUACUGGGCGUAAAGGGUGCGUAGGAGGUUGAGAAAGUCGGAUGUGAAAGCUCACUGCUUAACGGUGAAACUGCAUUCGAAACUUCUUGACUCGAGGAUCAGAAAGGAAAGCGGAAUUCUUGGUGUAGCGGUGAAAUGCGUAGAUAUCAAGAGGAACGCCAAUGGCGAAAGCAGCUUUCUGGAGGAUUCCUGACUCUGAGGCACGAAGGCUAGGGUAGCAAACA